rnacentral:tRNA from 1 species
GGCCCUGUGGUGUAACUGGCAAGCACACGACUCUUUGAAAGUCAAGGACAGAGAUCAUACCUCUGCGGGGCUACCA